AUUUUAUAGUAUCUUUUAUUCUUAAAUUUUCAUAAGACUUUUUUUUAUGAAGGUGGAGUAGGUGAUUAUAUUUAAAAAAUGAAUCUAAGACUAACCCACCUUUUAAUUUUUUAAAAUAUAGUUUAACCUAAUCCUGCAUGGACUUAUAAAUCUUAUGUUAAUGCAUCUUAGGAUACAUGCAAAACAGAUCUUAUAAUAUCACUAUCAUUUAUUAUUUAAUUAGAUAAUGGGAGUGUGCUGUGUUCAUAAUUGUAAUAAAACAUAUAAAAUAGAAUCUAAUACACAUAUUUCUUAUCAUAAAUUUCCAUUAAAAUCCAAAGAAUUAUUGGAAAAAUGGUUACAGGCUAUAAAUAGAAAAAAUUUUAUGCCUAAUAAAUAUAGUAUAAUGGGGGGUUAGUGAUUCCUUCAUCUAGUAUGUCUAUAUUAUGCCGAAUUUGUGAAAGUUCAUUUAGAACUUAUCAAAAUGAUAUUAAACGUAAAAAUAUUAUUAAAAAAAUGGAAGUGUUGGUUUUUUCCACAAUAAUUGGUACAAAUAUUUUUAUUGAUCUUACUGAACAUAUUAAUGAACAUGAGAUUGGUUACAGCCAUUUUCAAAUUCUUGUAAAAUUAAUUGUUCAAAGAUAUUUAAAUAUUAGAUUUUUCCAUUUUGCUGACUUGAGAAACCAGGAAUUGAUAACUGGUAUGAGGCAAAAUCUUACAAAAGCAAUACAAUUUAAUAAUCAAUAAGUCAUGUGAUGAUAGAAUCAAAAAGGAUGAAUGUUUAUAAUCAAAGAUAAUAUGAAUGUGAAUCAUCAUAUUGUUAAAAAUACAUUUUGUUUUUUAAAGUGUACACAUUUAUAUUUUUAUAUAUUUAUUGUAUAAACCUUAUUUAAAUGAUUUAUAUAAUAAUUUAUACCCAUGCAAAAAAUGUUAU